CAACUGUCAAUGCAUUGCAGUCAGUGCAGAAGGCUGUAUAACAGUCACUAAACAUAGUAAACAUGCUGCCAGAACGGAGACUAUGAAGAAGAAAGUUACACAGCGGCGACAAGAUAACUAAUUUUAGAUGCUAUAUUUAUAUGUAUGUGUGUGAUAGCUCAGCCGUAAGGUGUUGGGCUCAUAACACCAAGAUCAAUGGAUCAAUACUCUUUGAAACACAAAAUUUAUUUAAGUUUUCCUUUUUAUGCGUAUAUUUUGUUAAAUUUUUAAGUCGCUUAGUAUGUCUUAAACUUAAACUAUCCUAAGUAAUAUUUAUAUGGUUACAUUCCCUGAAAUUGCUUUUACAAGACAAUUCACUUUGUUGUCUAUUUUUGAGAAAAAUUCUUCACGAUAGCAUUCUCAUUUUUUUUUACAUAAGUCCCCGUGUUGCUAAUUUCGGACAGUAUACUGCUGCAGAAGAUGUAAAAUUACACUGCUAUUCAUACUAGUCGCAUUAUGUCAAUAAUAGCGUUGUGGUAAGGUGUUGCGCUGGCAUCAUUAAGUUUAAUUAUCCUAGCUAAUAUUGAUAUGGUUAGAUUCCCAGAAGUGUAUUUUAUAAAACUAUUGCAUUCGGUAGUACAUUUGUUGUAUAAAAUUCA